rnacentral:misc_RNA from 1 species
CGGCUGCUGAAUGGUCCUUUUGUGCGGCUGCUGUCUCUUCCAUUUAUAAUAAAUGGUCUGGGGUUAGGUUCUUAGAGUCUCUAUCAAAAAUUGCAACUGGAGCAAAAUCAAGAAACUAAUUAUCGAUGGAUACACGACUCGUGUAUCACUACAUGGCCCAGGGCCGUGUAACUUACUGGAGCUGAAUGGGCAUGUUUCGUACUGGCACAAAAAGUUAUACGGGUCGGCCCGUGUGCUUUGUCUCUUCCUCGGUUCUCUGGAUUUCUUUUGGCAGAAUGUUACAUGGGUCUGUGGUUG